rnacentral:hammerhead_ribozyme from 1 species
AUCCGGCUGAUAAGUCUCGAAUCGGACGAAACGCGCGUCCCGGAU